GACGGAGGGUGCUAGCGUUGUUCGGAAUCACUGGGCGUAAAGGGCGCGUAGGCGGCCAGGCAAGUCGGCUUGUGAAAGCCCGGGGCUCAACCCCGGAGGUGCGGCCGGGACUGCUUGGCUGGAGGCCGGAAGAGGAGGGUGGAAUACCCAGUGUAGAGGUGAAAUUCGUAGAUAUUGGGUGGAACACCGGUGGCGAAAGCGGCUCUCUGGUCCGGUUCUGACGCUGAGGCGCGAAAGCGUGGGGAGCAAACAGG
rnacentral:rRNA from 2 species